AACCCAUAGUGAGGGAACCUUCUCAAUAAGUCCUUGUAUCUCUUUCAUGCAUCAUAAAGAGUUUCUAGAUCAAUCUACACAAAAGAUGAGAUAUCAUUCCUAAAUUU
rfam:Gossypium arboreum cultivar AKA8401 contig_112332_1, whole genome shotgun sequence.